rnacentral:misc_RNA from 1 species
GAUAAUAAGCUGUACAUGCCCGUUGAGGAACAUGUUUGUGCAGUCCAACUAACGGCGGAGCGUUUUCGUAGUUCGGCAUCGAUUGACGCAGCUCCGUCAUAAUCUCGUUCGCGUACACGCGGUUCAUUUCCGACCGAAAGUGAAACGAGCUUACAAGAUCGACGGUGUCGGCCAAUAUCGUGGCCGCUCUGAUCUGGGAGUUGCGAGUAGGAUUGUAUCAAACAGCCUCAUAUUCAGACCCCCAUCGUACCUGCGAGCCUGUAGCAACGGGAACACG